CCCAAAGACACAGAUUUGCUUUCUGCCUUUAAAAAUUUUCACUUUCCAUGUUAUUAGAUGGAAACUAAUUUGCAUCUAGUUCUAGUUACGUUUCCCCAGUUGACCUCAAAGACAUUGGAUACUGUUCUUUGUUCAGGCGUAAAUCUAAUUUCCUUUCUUAAUGGUUCUGAAUGUUAACGCCUUUGCAGGAGCCUCAGGAAACCCAGCCAGCAUACCAGGAGCAGCAGCAGUUUGGCCCAUGCCACUAUGAGAUGAAACAGUUUCUGGAGUGUGCCCAGAACCAGGGUGACUUGAAGCUUUGUGAAGGUUUCAGCGAGGUGCUGAAACAGUGCAGAUUUGCAAAUGGAUUAGCCUAAUCAAGAAGUUCAAAUUGAAGAUAAGGAAAAUCAUCUCUCAUAACCAAGUUAAUUUAGCAUAAAAAUAUAAUUGAUGGUGAAUGGUGAAUAUAUAAAGUGUAAAACCACCAGUUAAGCUUCUCCUUCAUCAUUAAAUACAGCUUUCUUCAGAAUUGGAAUAAAAAAGGUUGUUCUUACUGUAUAGAAGUUCAUUGAGAUGGUUUGAAUUUGGGAUUGGGCAGAUAUUUGUGUGCCUCCUUAAAUCACCUUUUGUGAUGUUCUCAUUUGUGAAUUAGAAUAAAGUGAUUUUCUCCCAAAAUGUGUCUUUGAAGUGUAAGAUUAUAAAUUGAUAACGGUAUUUGCAUUUUGCAAAAGUACUCCAUUGUCUUAACAUGUCUUUAAGCAUAUCCGUUUUAUAGUCUCAGUAUUAAAUUCGCAUCCAUCUGGAUGAUCUGGCCGGGCUCCCUGAGCUUUUGUAGAAAAGUAGUUCUGUAAGGAGUAGCUCACUAGUAAACAUAGUGCUCUUUAAAAAAGGUUCCAGGUGGCAGG